rnacentral:rRNA from 1 species
AAAUUGAAGAGUUUGAUCAUGGCUCAGAUUGAACGCUGGCGGCAGGCCUAACACAUGCAAGUCGAACGGUAACAGGAAGCAGCUUGCUGCUUCGCUGACGAGUGGCGGACGGGUGAGUAAUGUCUGGGAAACUGCCUGAUGGAGGGGGAUAACUACUGGAAACGGUAGCUAAUACCGCAUAACGUCGCAAGACCAAAGAGGGGGACCUUCGGGCCUCUUGCCAUCGGAUGUGCCCAGAUGGGAUUAGCUUGUUGGUGGGGUAACGGCUCACCAAGGCGACGAUCCCUAGCUGGUCUGAGAGGAUGACCAGCCACACUGGAACUGAGACACGGUCCAGACUCCUACGGGAGGCAGCAGUGGGGAAUAUUGCACAAUGGGCGCAAGCCUGAUGCAGCCAUGCCGCGUGUAUGAAGAAGGCCUUCGGGUUGUAAAGUACUUUCAGCGGGGAGGAAGGGAGUAAAGUUAAUACCUUUGCUCAUUGACGUUACCCGCAGAAGAAGCACCGGCUAACUCCGUGCCAGCAGCCGCGGUAAUACGGAGGGUGCAAGCGUUAAUCGGAAUUACUGGGCGUAAAGCGCACGCAGGCGGUUUGUUAAGUCAGAUGUGAAAUCCCCGGGCUCAACCUGGGAACUGCAUCUGAUACUGGCAAGCUUGAGUCUCGUAGAGGGGGGUAGAAUUCCAGGUGUAGCGGUGAAAUGCGUAGAGAUCUGGAGGAAUACCGGUGGCGAAGGCGGCCCCCUGGACGAAGACUGACGCUCAGGUGGAAAGCGUGGGGAGCAAACAGGAUUAGAUACCCUGGUAGUCCACGCCGUAAACGAUGUCGACUUGGAGGUUGUGCCCUUGAGGCGUGGCUUCCGGAGCUAACGCGUUAAGUCGACCGCCUGGGGAGUACGGCCGCAAGGUUAAAACUCAAAUGAAUUGACGGGGGCCCGCACAAGCGGUGGAGCAUGUGGUUUAAUUCGAUGCAACGCGAAGAACCUUACCUGGUCUUGACAUCCACGGAAGUUUUCAGAGAUGAGAAUGUGCCUUCGGGAACCGUGAGACAGGUGCUGCAUGGCUGUCGUCAGCUCGUGUUGUGAAAUGUUGGGUUAAGUCCCGCAACGAGCGCAACCCUUAUCCUUUGUUGCCAGCGGUCCGGCCGGGAACUCAAAGGAGACUGCCAGUGAUAAACUGGAGGAAGGUGGGGAUGACGUCAAGUCAUCAUGGCCCUUACGACCAGGGCUACACACGUGCUACAAUGGCGCAUACAAAGAGAAGCGACCUCGCGAGAGCAAGCGGACCUCAUAAAGUGCGUCGUAGUCCGGAUUGGAGUCUGCAACUCGACUCCAUGAAGUCGGAAUCGCUAGUAAUCGUGGAUCAGAAUGCCACGGUGAAUACGUUCCCGGGCCUUGUACACACCGCCCGUCACACCAUGGGAGUGGGUUGCAAAAGAAGUAGGUAGCUUAACCUUCGGGAGGGCGCUUACCACUUUGUGAUUCAUGACUGGGGUGAAGUCGUAACAAGGUAACCGUAGGGGAACCUGCGGUUGGAUCACCUCCUUA